GGGUGCGAUCAUACCAGCACUAAUGUACCGGA
rnacentral:rRNA from 1 species